CGUAGGGGGCAAGCGUUGUCCGGAAUCAUUGGGCGUAAAGAGCGUGUAGGCGGCCCGGUAAGUCCGUUGUGAAAGUCCAGGGCUCAACCCUGGAAAGCCGAUGGAUACUGCCGGGCUAGAGUUCGGAAGAGGCGAGUGGAAUUCCUGGUGUAGCGGUGGAAUGCGCAGAUAUCAGGAGGAACACCAAUAGCGAAGGCAGCUCGCUGGGACGGUACUGACGCUGAGGCGCGAAAGCGUGGGGAGCAAACAGG
rnacentral:rRNA from 1 species